UGAACUUAAACCUGUGGAGCAGAAACCUAACUUUUUCAGCCUCGAAAACUGUUAAUAAAGAAUGCAGUUUAUUUGAAGAUCAUGUUAAAUGUUUGCCACUGAGUUCAGUGCUUUCUGUUUCAUUGCCUUUUUCUUCUUUCUCAUUGUAUAUUUUUGUUUGUUUCUCGAAAAGUUCCGUACAAUACUUUUGGCACAAAUUUAAUCCCAUAUUAUAACGUAAGUGAGAAGAGGAACUGACUUAUUUUAUGGACGUUCCACAACAAUAAUGCAACUAUACAUGGAUAAAAUGUAUUUAAUUAGUAAAAAUGUAACUGUUAGGAAAUUGCUGUAGUAUAUAAAGAUUAUGUUAUUAUUGGCAAAGAAUCAACUAUUGAGUGGUAACAGGAUCACACCACCUCGUCAUUGAUUAUUUUUCUUUCACAGCACUGUUUUAUUUCUUAAUUAUAACGAUGUUAUGUUUCCAGAUUUAUUAUACUACAGUCUGGUCAUGUUUAUGAUCCAUACUGUGUAAAGAACACCAGCAAUCUGUGAUGGUAAAGACUCUCUUACACUCAGAUUAUAAUGCAAUGAGCUUUUUUGGCAAACAUUUUAAACCUUAGUCAUUGUACGUUCUGUUCAAGAACAUCAUGAAACACCAAUGGGACUCUUUGAUGACAUGCUAAAACCUUAGCAUUACACAUAUCUGAACCGCUCUGCUUGGACUAGCUGUUACACUGCAUGUUAAAGCAUGGCAUGAUCUACUGCAUUUCAGAAAAUGUGACAAAAGUUGUAGCAGCCGCUCACAAGCAUGAACCAGAGGCAUCGAGCCCCAGGAGUUUUAGGGCCAUCUGUGACUCCAUAUAUCUUGUGCUUAUGCAAAGACAGAGGCCCUUUGCCCUGGGACAGGAAGCUCAGGCUGCACUCAGCCCAUCGCUAACACAUCUCACAACAGCCUGAGUUAUGUAGCGUCCCCGUCAUCUGCCGAGUCUCAACAGCUGGACUGACAAUUGUUGAACAGCGGAGACAGCGGUGGGAAGCUCUUUGGAAGCAAGGACAUCACAUCGCCAUGAGUGAGGAGUUGCAAGCCAAGGGAAGACGAGAAGGAAAAAGAAGGAGGGGAUGAGGAGAGGAGGGCGCUCGAUACAAAGGAGAAGCCUGGGUUAAGUCAUGAGCGGCAGACGACAUAGGUUGGAUUUUUAACAGAUGAGAUCACAUCCUUUUGCCUGAGAGGCUGAGAGUAUCAUCCUCGUUCAGACAGCUGAGCGCACUCGGCACAAAGCAGGGCAGCAGUCACUAAAACACACAUGCAGACACCCUGCUUCAUAUGCGUACUGUAUGUAAAAACAUACACACACUUGUACACUCACAAACAUGUCCACAUAUUAG
ensembl:lncRNA